rnacentral:rRNA from 1 species
UACGUAGGUGGCAAGCGUUGUCCGGAUUUACUGGGCGUAAAGAGCGCGCAGGCGGUCGUUCACGUCGGGUGUGAAAGCCCCCGGCUCAACUGGGGAGGGUCACGCGAUACUGAUCGACUCGAAGGCAGGAGAGGGUAGUGGAAUUCCCGGUGUAGUGGUGAAAUGCGUAGAUAUCGGGAGGAACACCAGUGGCGAAGGCGACUACCUGGCCUGUUCUUGACGCUGAGGCGCGAAAGCUAGGGGAGCAAACGGG